AAACGCGGCCCCUGUGAGGGGGAGCUGUGAAACGAGUCAGGCCUUAACCGGAGCAGCUCUAAGCAGUGUACCUUUGUGCGGGGGUCGCGUUCCGU
rnacentral:SRP_RNA from 1 species